AUCCAUGUUGCAACACUAUCACAGGAUAUGGAACGUGUCAAUUUUACAAGCUUUCGGCCAGAAUUUAUGAUGCAGGCAGCCGACUCCAAGGACACCAGUGCCUUUCAAGAUUCAGGAAAUUCUUCCAACUUGGCUACACUUCACUUCAAUAAAAAUACUCAGUACUGUUAUUAAGUCUUCUCUUAUUCAGAAUCACAUACAAUACAAAAUGUUCAUAGCAUGUCAUACUUUGAACAAUACAUCUUAACCAACCUUCUACAUAUGAAAGAGUGAAACAAAAUCAUGUACAAAGAAAAGUGAAUGAAGAUUUUUGUUCAUUUGUCUGUGCCCUAUUGCACAUUCAUAAUUAAUAUCUUUGCCAAUGCUUAUGGUCAGUCCUUACUUCUGUUGUUAUCACUGUUUCUCUCUCUCUCUCUGUUUUUCCCCCUUGAAUUAAUUUUAAUUUUACCAUAUCUGGGAGGGGGAUCUUACACCAUGUACCUACACAAUUGACCCCACUCUGUAUGUUGAGAUGGUAUGGAGACGUACAGUAUUUUUGCAUGUACAUAUUUAUAUUUACAUUUGCCAAUAGAGGUCUGUGCCUUUCAUUUGUCGGCUUCUCUUUUAUUUAAUGGAACUGAUGUGCCAGCUUAUCCUAAGUAUGUUAAAGUUCUACAAGAAAUUGAAAGAUUAUAUACAUAAUUUGAUAGUUCAUUACAUAUUUUAAUUUAGCACCCUGACGUUAAUGUUCAGUUUGCUUUGGCCUUGCUGUCAGGUUUUGCGCUUGUGCACUAGUAGGUUUGGCGGCUAAGCACGAGCCACUAACGAUAAAUAUGCUAGUUGCUACCGUCGCAAGUGUGUGCACUCAUUUUGUUAGUGUUAAUUUUACACUGAGUGUCACACUUACACCUGAGUAUUACAUAUUAAAGAAUUCCCGUGGUGUUUCUCUUCUUUCUGGGUGCAGUGUUUGUAUGCUUAUUGUUGAAAAUCUGACGCUGUGGCAGAAGAUCUCCAUUCUUGUGGCCUGGGUGUCAUUAUUACCUGUCGUAUUCACAUUUUCAGCAGAGAAAACCUUGGCCAACAGCAUCUGUCGACUAGCUAAGUACUGGCUUGAACAAUUAUGGUUCACUUAUUAAUGUAUCAGAUGUUGUGAGACACAAUACUUGGAGAUUACUUUGUUGCAUACGUAUGUUAAUGUCACCACACUUCACCAUCCACUUUGUUGAAAGAAACACAGACACAAAGAGACAUUUUAUAUAUUGCUUGUCUUUAAAGUUCACUCCUUUGCAUGUAGUUUGGUUUCCAAUGAAAAUUCAUACAAGUAUUGAGUUACAACAAUACAGAACAUGAUAGCUUAUACCUAUGGCUGACAUUCCAUCCAUCGCUUACAUUACGAAUGUAAAUUUCUAAACUUUUAAAAUGUCAUAAAUUUUUCAUUAACUACGUUCUUUUACUACAGUUUGUUAGUUAGUUUAAACUUAGCUUCAUACACAUCACAUAUACAGAUUAAUUAUGUAAUACAUUAUUAUGGGAAAAUACAAGCAUAUGAUACAUUUGUACUUCAUUUUAUAGAUAGGCUUUUAUCACUUAUGGGCACUCAUUUCUUCCUUAGGUAGGAGGGAGAAAAACAUCCAAAAUAGGACUAAAACAUUACGCUUUGUUGACCUAACUACACUUAGUACUGCCUCCUUUGUUUGGGAAGGAAGAAAGGAAAUACUCAUCAACUGGUUCAGGGAUUUAUGAGGAAAUGUUACUUGUACAAUCAUGGACUAGUUGCCAAGGAACUCUUUAUUUCAUGGAAAUGAUGUGUAGUGACUAAUGAUUCGUGUACUAUCAUGUUGUUUCUCCUUGCACUAGUGGUGCUUACUUCAGUUCAUGUGUAGCUUAGUGUUAAUUAUGAAGAAGAUUCACCCAUCAUAGACUUAUCUUUCUCGAAUACUUGGAAAUGUCAUUAUUUAUGCUCUCAUGUGACAUGAUUAAAAUUUAUUGGUUUUUGUAAAAUCACAUGCUUAAAUGUUUAUGCAUAUUUUGCAGUGAAUAGGUAUUGGUAAAUGUCAUGGAGCUAUACUGCAACAAUGCAUAUUUUUAUUUUUCAUUGCCUUCUGACCUUUUUAUAAAUAUCCUUAGAACUAAAUUGUUUACUCGAGGUGUGGCGUGUUUAUUCAUUUGGUACCUGCUGCUCUUGAUGUAAUUAUCUUCUUUUGCACUGUGAUGAUACACUGAUAACUGGAAGAAAAAAAUUUAAAACUAACUUAAAACUAUUUGCAUUAUGUAGCUCGGUGGCCACUGAUACAUUUGCUCAUUACACACGCCCGCAGAUAUUUCCAACUUUUUUAAAAUUCAUACACAUUCAUUUAUUCUGAUACCCUUUAUGAUCAUUUACCCUGCAAAGAGAAUUAUUUGACAUUUCCUACGGUAUUUUAUCGUUUCUUCUUAGCUUAUACAUCUCGUAUAUUUCCUCAUAAUGUAACGUGUUGUCAAGAUUCAUAUUUGUAUUGCUCUCCAUUGUUUCAUACAUGAGCAGUAUGUUGCUCUGGGAGAUGCACGACAUUGUCUUGACAAUUGUAAACAUUGUGUCGUCAAGGUUAUUGUGCUGUGGAAUGUCGCUAUCAUUGGUGACACCUGUGACACUCAUCUCUGACCUACUUACACUUUCUGUGGUCAGCAUGCACAGCACCUGAACUUCAAUUGUUCGAUUGCGCAGUUCUAUGCCAUCUUGGCUGAUUGCAUUUUUGCUAUUGCAGUGGACAUAUAUUUUUCUGCCAUGUUGUAUGAAUGUGCAAAAAUAAAAAUUUCAUAAUAAGUGGUAAAAUUGUGUAUGCUAAUUAUUACACUUGAUAAUUGUAAUUUACGUGAUGUCAAAGCCUGUUUUAUGACUGUGUAGUGCUCCCAGAAUUUUACAAAAGUCUGGAGACACUUGUGAUUCAUCCGUUUCGAACACGCGUUAUUUUAAAGCAGGACGUAAGGAUGAGCAUGGGAUACUGCACCCAUUUAUUGUUUGUGCAGGCAAAACUGGAAGGGAGAUAAUUCUUCGGCGCUGGCAAGUGUUCAGCGCGACCUGCCAAGAAUAAUCAAAUACGGCCCGGAAGAUCUGUGGCCGGCUGCAAAGAGUAAUGUAGCUUUGUAUUGUUGAAAAACAAAUGGAGUGACUCGAGGUAGUGACUGUUCAUUAGACGUUGAACUGCUGUUGAGAGUACAUGGACUGGACGUGGAUAGUCAGCCACUAUAAAAGCUUAUGUAUUAACUGUGUUCAAAAAUGUGUAAUUAACUGAUUUUGGGUGCCCGGUAAUGUGUGGGCUUACGUCAUAAAGUUUAGUUGUUUUUUUGUACAAAGUGGAAAUAAAUAUGUUCUGGUGCAUUGAA